GGGGAUUUAGCUCAGUGGUAGAGCGCUUGCCUAGCAAGCACAAGGCACUGGGUUCGGUCCCCAGCUCCG
rfam:Rattus norvegicus chromosome 5, whole genome shotgun sequence.